rnacentral:rRNA from 1 species
ACUCAAAUGAAUAGACGGGGGCUCACACAAGCGGUGGAGCAUGUUGCUUAAUUCGAGGCAACGCGAAGAACCUUACCUGGGCUUGACAUGCUGGUAUUAACCCUAUGAAAGUAGGGCCACAGUCGCAAGACCGGAACCAGCACAGGUGCUGCAUGGCUGUCGUCAGCUCGUGCUGUGAAGCGUCGGGUUAAGUCCUAUAACGAGCGCAACCCCUGUCGUUAGUUGCUCGGCGAAAGCCAGUACUCUAGCGAGACUGCCGGUGUCAAACCGGAGGAAGGUGGGGAUGACGUCAAGUCCUCAUGGCCCUUACGUCCAGGGUUGCAAACGUGCUACAAUGGUGCAAACAAAGCGAUGCAAGAGCGCAAGCUGGAGCAAAUCGCAUAAAUUGCACCCCAGUUCGGAUUGCAGGCUGCAACCCGCCUGCAUGAAGUCGGAAUCGCUAGUAAUCGCGGAUCAGCUACGCCGCGGUGAAUGUGUUCCUGAGCCUUGUACACACCGCCCGU